rnacentral:rRNA from 1 species
GAUGAACGCUGGCGGCGUGCCUAAUACAUGCAAGUCGAGCGAAUGGAUUGAGAGCUUGCUCUUAUGAAGUUAGCGGCGGACGGGUGAGUAACACGUGGGUAACCUGCCCAUAAGACUGGGAUAACUCCGGGAAACCGGGGCUAAUACCGGAUAACAUUUUGAACCGCAUGGUUCGAAAUUGAAAGGCGGCUUCGGCUGUCACUUAUGGAUGGACCCGCGUCGCAUUAGCUAGUUGGCGAGGUAACGGCUCACCAAGGCAACGAUGCGUAGCCGACCUGAGAGGGUGAUCGGCCACACUGGGACUGAGACACGGCCCAGACUCCUACGGGAGGCAGCAGUAGGGAAUCUUCCGCAAUGGACGAAAGUCUGACGGAGCAACGCCGCGUGAGUGAUGAAGUCUUUCGGGUCGUAAAACUCUGUUGUUAGGGAAGAACAAGUGCUAGUUGAAUAAGCUGGCACCUUGUCGGUACCUAACCAGAAAGCCACGGCUAACUACGUGCCAGCCGCCGCCGUAA